UACGUAGGGUGCAAGCGUUGUCCGGAUUUAUUGGGCGUAAAGAGCUCGUAGGCGGUCUGUCGCGUCGGAUGUGAAAACCCAGGGCUCAACCUGGGAAUGGCAAUGGAUACUGGCGAGCUAGAGUGUGAUAGAGGAUGGUGGAAUUCCCGGUGUAGCGGUGAAAUGCGUAGAGAUCGGGAGGAACACCAAUGGCGAAGGCAGCUCGCUGGGACGGUACUGACGCUGAGACGCGAAAGCGUGGGGAGCAAACAGG
rnacentral:rRNA from 1 species